rfam:Dichomitus squalens LYAD-421 SS1 unplaced genomic scaffold DICSQscaffold_32, whole genome shotgun sequence.
GGCCGCCUGGCGUAAUGGCAACGCGUCUGACUACGAAUGCGUAAUCAGGAGAUUGCAGGUUCGACCCCUGCGGUGGUCA